UCAUUGGGCCAGAAAGAAGCUAUUCAAGAUCAGGUCAAACUUAUGGGUGUGGAUUUGGAUGGAGUAAAAAAAGAGCAACAGGCAGUUUGGGGAAGAAUUAACCAACUCAGGGAAAAAGUGAGUGGAUUAGAUUUUGAAAUCAAGUCCUUACAGGAUGAUCUGACAGCUGUGAUGCAGAAGAGGGACAAAGCAUACGACAAUAUCAAGUCGUUAAGGCAACAACGUGAUGAAGGGAAUGU
rnacentral:misc_RNA from 1 species